UCAAUCUCGUGCGGCUAUAUAUGCCGCCGGUCCCUCUAAGAAGAUUACAAUGUACGCCGGUAGUUGAAGGCCGCGCGAGCGCGGCACCUCGCGAUACCGGAAAUACGUCUAUUUAAUAGGCUAGAGUUACGUUCGUUAC
rnacentral:rRNA from 1 species